AAAUCUAUAAUUCUGACCCAUACAAUGUAUUUUUGGCUAUUGCUACAAAUAUACCCCAGUGACUUAAGACUGGUUUUGUGCUCCAGGGUCACAUAUGAGAAUGGUUAUGAGCCUGAACUAAUGAAGAAGAAGAAGAAGAAAAAAAAAAGAAAAUAGGAGAAAAAAUAUAAAUUUACAGGAAAAUCUACUUAAGCUUUCAUCUUCUUGCUCUCUGAAUAUCUGAAACACAUACAAUCCUAGUUUGAAGCUACACAGUUCUAUAAAGUCUUCCAAUUGUUGCUUUCCAGUUCUAUUUUCUGAUUUUAUUUUCACAUGAAAAGUUUGUCAGCAUAUUCCACUUAUUUACUCUUAAUUUAUGCCCAAAAAUGUCUGGAAAGUUCCACCCAAAAUUGAAAAAGACAGGAAAACAAGAUGAGGAAAGAUGUUGCUUAUGUAUCGCUUGUGAGUCUCUGAAGCUAACCACCCACUCCAGCACUAUUCGGCACAUCAAAAAAGCUUGAGUUUCUGAUGGAAAGCCAAACAUUUCCUAUCCUUUUUUAUGGUCUCUCUCUCUCUCUCUCUCUCUCUCUCUCUCUCUCUCUCUCUCUCUCUCUUGUCUUCUGCAGCUCUGUGACCAGCAUGGGAGGAAGCAUGAAGCAACACUGCAGUGAUCCUAUUCUUAAGAUGUUUGAAGGAGUCCAAGAAAUGAAAGUGUCUGGGCGUCAGAGACCAUAAAUCAUAGAGAUCUCAAACUUGAUGGGAUGCUUUCAACUCAGGUGAACACACACAAAUCUGUCUAAAUCUGUCACUAGGUGGCGCUAUGAUAUGUGCAGUUGUGGUUUAGUUCAUCAUUUAAGAACCAAUUAAGGGCUAGGAUCAAAAUUCCUUUUCCUCUGGAUCAAUAAAUGGGAAUAUAUUUGGUUUUAUUUACCACUGGUAAAAGUUUGCACCAUUUUGAAUUUUCUGAAAACCUUUUUUCAAACUCAGUUCUUCUAUUCCAAAUGAUAAAUAAGCUAUGAAUAUGAGACCAUUUCCAGGUCUCAUAUUCCUGGCUGGCAGGCUCUGAUUUCAGUGGUUGUGAGCGUGCAGGGCUUGUUUGGAGACACCGUUGGUCAUGGGUAAUGUGGACAGCGAGGUCAGGAAGGUUUGGUCUCUGUGGUGUUGAAUCUGCUUCUGAUGGCUGACUAUGAAGUGAGGAUGGCCACAUCAGCCCAGUGGAACGUCCUCCAGCGGUACACCAGAACCACUUUAUAUCUGUAUAUAUGACUCUACCUUUCACUCUUCCUCCCUCUGAAGGAAGCUCUGUGGUGUGGAGUGUUGCAAGCGGGAGCCCAUAAGAGCAGCCAUACUGACCUGCUGACCACAGAUCAGGACGUGCCAGUGCUCUGUGCUAUCUCAUUCACACUGAUUAUACCUCACACUGCCAUUAGAGCAGCUGCCGGACUACUGACCGCUUGGAUAGAUACAUGUUUGUGUGUAUUCUGUCCAUUGAUUCCAGAUGCACACUGCUGCUAAAAUUGCUUGUCAGUCCACUUAAUGUGCUUAAAAGAAUAAUUCACCCAAAAAUUACAAUUUUCUGAAAAUGUGUUCACCCUCAGGCCAUCCAAGAUGUAGUUGUGUUUGUUUGCUUAAUAGAACAUAUUUGAAGAAAUUUAGCCUUCUAGAGUCCUCUAUUCAUUGCUUUCCCAGUCAAAAAGUUGUGUGAGAAAUAUGCACAGAUCAAGCAAUGAUACAAACAAAAAGAGACUGAAAGAUUAAACAAAUGUGUCUGUGGAUUUCGAUGUGAAAGGACAACAGGUGAUUAACUUUUUCAUUAGAAUGUUAAUGUUAAUAUGGAUUAUGGCCAUUUUGUCCAGAAGCGAUGGUUUAAAGUUAAAACGCCUGAGUGAUGGAUUUGUUUGUUAAAAACAUGUUUGGACUCUCAUUCUGAUGGCACCCAUUCACUGCAGAGGAUGAGCAAGUGAUGUAAUGCUAAAUUUCUCCAAAUCUGUUUUGAUGAAGAAACAAACUCAUCAAUAUCUUCGAUGGCCUGAGGUCAGUUUGAUUUAAUAUUAUUAUUUAAGUAAAUUAAUAGACUUAUUUAAUUGAUCAAAAGUGACGAUAAAUAUAUUUACAAUAUUACAUGUGACACUCAAGACUGGAGUAUAAUGGCUGCUGAAAAUUGAGCUUUUCUAUCAAAGGAAUAUGUUAUAUUUUAAAAUGCAUUCACAUAGAAAACAGUUAUUUUAAGUUGUAACAAUAUUUCACAGUAUUACCGUUUUCUACUGUAUUCUUCAUCACAUAAAUCAGCCUUUGUGAGUGUAAAGGGUGUUAAAAUGUUUAUUCAAUAAUUAAUUGAAAACUGAUACCUCCCUAUUUUUUUUUUAUGUGAACACCAAUAGUUCAGAAUCAGUUAACCGCCAUGCCAGCGGAUGGCGCUUGAGCGCUCCCGUGAAGCACACUAUAGAGACUAGUUUUUUCCCGGGUGCGACCUCAGAAGUAAAAAAACUGACGCACCAAAGGAACGACACUCAUUUUGUCUGUCUCUUUAUUUAUUCACAGUGUUUUCACAGAUACACAGUGCUUCACUGCCUGUGUGUCCUUUGUUGCCAGCCCAGAUAUCCCCUAGGUCUGAGGCCGGUAACAAUUGGGGGCUGCGUCCGGGAUUAGCACAUCUCGCCUGGGACGGUUGUCAUAGUAACGUGGGAAUCCUGCACCCAGUGUUUCAGGGAAGACUACUUCGCCAAGUGUCAUCCAGAGAACAACU
ensembl:lncRNA